AUUGAACGCUGGCGGCAGGCCUAACACAUGCAAGUCGGGCGGUAGCACAAGGGAGCUUGCUCCCUGGGUGACGAGCGGCGGACGGGUGAGUAAUGUCUGGGAAACUGCCUGAUGGAGGGGGAUAACUACUGGAAACGGUAGCUAAUACCGCAUAACGUCGCAAGACCAAAGAGGGGGACCUUCGGGCCUCUUGCCAUCGGAUGUGCCCAGAUGGGAUUAGCUAGUAGGUGGGGUAAAGGCUCACCUAGGCGACGAUCCCUAGCUGGUCUGAGAGGAUGACCAGCCACACUGGAACUGAGACACGGUCCAGACUCCUACGGGAGGCAGCAGUGGGGAAUAUUGCACAAUGGGCGCAAGCCUGAUGCAGCCAUGCCGCGUGUGUGAAGAAGGCCUUCGGGUUGUAAAGCACUUUCAGCGAGGAGGAAGGGAGCAGGCUUAAUACGUCUGUUCAUUGACGUUACCCGCAGAAGAAGCACCGGCUAACUCCGUGCCAGCCGCCGCAGUAAGAC
rnacentral:rRNA from 1 species